rnacentral:rRNA from 1 species
UACGGGGGGGGCAAGCGUUGUUCGGAAUUACUGGGCGUAAAGGCUCGUAGGCGGCCAACUAAGUCGGAUGUGAAAUCCCCAGGCUUAACCUGGGAACUGCAUCCGAUACUGGAUGGCUUGAAUCCGGGAGAAGGGAUGCGGAAUUCCAGGUGUAGCGGUGAAAUGCGUAGAUAUCUGGAGGAACACCGGUGGCGAAGGCGGCAUCCUGGACCGGUAUUGACGCUGAGGCGCGAAAGCCAGGGGAGCAAACGGG